UUUGGAAAGUACACAGAGUCAAAAGGGAAGAGCAGAAGUAUUUUCCAAGUGUUCAGCCUCAAAUUUGUCUUGGAAUUCCUGAACAUUGAGAGAUGAAGGCUGUAUUAAAUUCCCCUUGCCUUAAAGUCAUCAAAAGUAAGCAAGCCAUUGCAGAGGAUGGAAAAUCCCUUCUACUGGCUCAGUAACUUGUCACAGGUCCCCAAACACCAGCCAGAUGAACCAAAGCUGAAGUGAAACAAUCUGAUGGCCAUUCCUGAACAGUGGUGUUGGAAAUGUCACUCGGAGGAUCACUGCCAAGUUGGAAAAUGACUGCUUAUGACUCCACAGGCAGAGAGGGACAGGUGUCUUCAUCUGGCUGCCAGCACUUUCUGUGCCAUGAGAAGUUUCU